rnacentral:rRNA from 1 species
CCCUUAGAUGUUCUGGGCCGCACGCGCGCUACACUGAUGCAUUCAACGAGCCUAUCCUUGACCGACAGGUCCGGGUAAUCUUUGAAUCUGCAUCGUGACGGGGAUAGAUUAUUGCAAUUAUUAAUCUUCAACGAGGAAUGCCUAGUAGGCGCAAGUCAUCAGCUUGCGUCGAUUACGUCCCUGCCCUUUGUACACACCGCCCGUCGCUCCUACCGAUUGGGUGUGCCGGUGAAAUGUUCGGAUCGGCCGUUUGUCGCGGUUUCCGCGUCAUGUGGCUGAGAAGUUCAUUAAACCCUCCCACCUAGAGGAAGGAGAAGUCGUAACA